ensembl:lncRNA
GUGGAAUGGUGGUUCUCAGACUGAGAGUGGGGCGAAUUCUCUACCACGGAGCCACCAGGGAAGUCAGAGUUUGGUAUUCGUAUGGAAUGAGCCACCGCCUCCUUGCAGGGCCCUGCAAUGGCUGCCAGCACCUCCCAGCUUCCAUCUGGUCCUCUUAAGCAAGUCCAUGGAAAAAGAGAAGAGUUUUCCACUCAAAGUCCCAGAACUGUAUCUCAUUGACUCUUAUAGGACUGGGUUUACCUCCUGGGCCAGUAUCUGAACAAAUCUCUGUAUUUUAAGAGUUAAUUUCCUCUUGCUGCUAUAGCAAAUUACCUCAAAUGGAGUG